CUCCAUCGUACUGCUUGCGCUGCUUGUGUAUCUCCGUAGCGACGUCAUGUUCUUGGGGGAGCUUCUGCGUUCCUUUUCGGUCCAACGCGGUGAGCUCUUUCCAGAAUCAGCGGACUUUUCAGAGCAG